CGCCGGCGGGGUGCUAUACAUGCAGUCGAACGCUUCUUUCCUCCCGAGUGCUUGCACUCAAUUGGAAAGAGGAGUGGCGGACGGGUGAGUAACACGUGGGUAACCUACCCAUCAGAGGGGGAUAACACUUGGAAACAGGUGCUAAUACCGCAUAACAGUUUAUGCCGCAUGGCAUAAGAGUGAAAGGCGCUUUCGGGUGUCGCUGAUGGAUGGACCCGCGGUGCAUUAGCUAGUUGGUGAGGUAACGGCUCACCAAGGCCACGAUGCAUAGCCGACCUGAGAGGGUGAUCGGCCACACUGGGACUGAGACACGGCCCAGACUCCUACGGGAGGCAGCAGUAGGGAAUCUUCGGCAAUGGACGAAAGUCUGACCGAGCAACGCCGCGUGAGUGAAGAAGGUUUUCGGAUCGUAAAACUCUGUUGUUAGAGAAGAACAAGGACGUUAGUAACUGAACGUCCCCUGACGGUAUCUAACCAGAAAGCCACGGCUAACUACGUGCCAGCAGCCGCGGUAAUACGUAGGUGGCAAGCGUUGUCCGGAUUUAUUGGGCGUAAAGCGAGCGCAGGCGGUUUCUUAAGUCUGAUGUGAAAGCCCCCGGCUCAACCGGGGAGGGUCAUUGGAAACUGGGAGACUUGAGUGCAGAAGAGGAGAGUGGAAUUCCAUGUGUAGCGGUGAAAUGCGUAGAUAUAUGGAGGAACAC
rnacentral:rRNA from 1 species